AUGCAAGUCGAGGGGCAGCACAGGUAGCAAUACCGGGUGGCGACCGGCGCACGGGUGAGUAACGCGUAUGCAACUUACCUAUCAGAGGGGGAUAACCCGGCGAAAGUCGGACUAAUACCGCAUGAAGCAGGGGUCCCGCAUGGGGAUAUUUGCUAAAGAUUCAUCGCUGAUAGAUAGGCAUGCGUUCCAUUAGGCAGUUGGCGGGGUAACGGCCCACCAAACCGACGAUGGAUAGGGGUUCUGAGAGGAAGGUCCCCCACAUUGGUACUGAGACACGGACCAAACUCCUACGGGAGGCAGCAGUGAGGAAUAUUGGUCAAUGGCCGAGAGGCUGAACCAGCCAAGUCGCGUGAGGGAUGAAGGUUCUAUGGAUCGUAAACCUCUUUUAUAAGGGAAUAAAGUGCGGGACGUGUCCCGUUUUGUAUGUACCUUAUGAAUAAGGAUCGGCUAACUCCGUGCCAGCAGCCGCGGUAAUACGGAGGAUCCGAGCGUUAUCCGGAUUUAUUGGGUUUAAAGGGUGCGUAGGCGGCCUUUUAAGUCAGCGGUGAAAGUCUGUGGCUCAACCAUAGAAUUGCCGUUGAAACUGGGGGGCUUGAGUAUGCUUGAGGCAGGCGGAAUGCGUGGUGUAGCGGUGAAAUGCAUAGAUAUCACGCAGAACCCCGAUUGCGAAGGCAGC
rnacentral:rRNA from 1 species